UGGAGGCAGAACAGGGGGAGGGAUGGCGGGCCAGGCCCGUGUAGGGGAACUGGGACCGGCAGCGAUGGCUCCCCUGGUAGCCCAGGUGGCUCGGUCAGAUCAGGGCGCCAUGGUGGACCCGAAAGUUCAGGGGACCACGAGGGACCAGGCAGUUCAGGUGGCCACGGUGGAUCAGUCCAUUCUCGUUGUGCAGACGGCCAGGGAGGAAUUCGCCAUUUGAGUGGCCCGAACGGAACCUGCCAAUCGGGGAGCCAGUAAGGAGCAGGCUGUGGCGAUGGCCCGGUCACGGCAUUGGGAACGGCAUCAGGAACGACCUCAGACAAGGGCACCGCCUCGGGAACGGCCUUGGACACGGGUAUCGCCUCCGGAGCCAUCCUGGGCCCCGCAUCGGCCUCCGGAACAGCAUCGGCCACCGCCUCUGGAAUGGCCUCAGGAACGGCCUCAGGAACGGCAUCGGACCAGGACACCGCCUCGGGAACGGUCUCAGGAACGGCCUCAGGAACGGCCUCAGGAACGGCCUCAGGAACGGCCUCAGGAACGGCAUUGGACAAGGACACCGCCUCGGGAACGAUCUCUGCAUCGGGCACCACCUCAGGAACGACCUCGGCCUGCGCAUCGGCCACCGCCUCAGGAACCACCUCGGCCACCGCAUCGG
ensembl:lncRNA